rnacentral:rRNA from 1 species
UACGUAGGGGGCAAGCGUUGUCCGGAAUCAUUGGGCGUAAAGAGCGUGUAGGCGGUUCGGUAAGUCCGCUGUGAAAGUCCAGGGCUCAACCCUGGAAUGCCGGUGGAUACUGCCGGGCUAGAGUCCGGAAGAGGCGAGUGGAAUUCCUGGUGUAGCGGUGAAAUGCGCAGAUAUCAGGAAGAACACCCGUGGCGAAGGCGGCUCUCUGGGACGUGACUGACGCUGAGACGCGAAAGCGUGGGGAGCAAACAGG